CCCGCGGGAAAACGGAACGAGCAUUGUCACAGGUCCGCAGCUGCAGCAGAGGGCUCAGGUCACGGGUCCUGUAGUGCAGGUCACUGCUGCCAGAGGGCGCUGUGCUCAGGUCACGGGUCCUGUAGUGCAGGUCGCGGCUGCCAGAGGGCGCUGUGCUCAGGUCACGGGUCCUGUAGUGCAGGUCACUGCUGCCAGAGGGCGCUGCCUGGGUGUUCAUGUCAAGAUGUGGGGUAAAGACUG